UACGGGGGGUGCAAGCGUUACUCGGAAUCACUGGGCGUAAAGAGCAUGUAGGCGGAUUAAUAAGUUUGAAGUGAAAUCCUAUAGCUUAACUAUAGAACUGCUUUGAAAACUGUUAGUCUAGAAUGUGGGAGAGGUAGAUGGAAUUUCUGGUGUAGGGGUAAAAUCCGUAGAGAUCAGAAGGAAUACCGAUUGCGAAGGCGAUCUACUGGAACAUUAUUGACGCUGAGAUGCGAAAGCGUGGGGAGCAAACAGG
rnacentral:rRNA from 1 species